AGGUCCACCACUAUAUAAACUGUAUGAUCUUGGGCAAAUCCAACGUCGUCUCUGAGCCUCAGUUUCUACAUCUGAAAAAUAGGGAAAAACAAUAGACGCCUCCCAGGGUCACUGAAAGAAUUAACAAGAUAACAUAUGCUAAGAGUUUCAAGGGCCACGGGAAGGAGAGGGAUCGGGGCCAUUACAUUUCAUCUUUAAAUUGACUUACCAUGGGUCUCGUCUACACUGGAAGGUGCAUGAGGUCAUCACAAAGCUACUGGGAAAUCGGGGAGCCAGAGUGGAUGUCUGGGAGCCUGGGAGUCCAGGGGAGAGCAGAGAGCCUGGAAACGGAGGAAAUCCAGCGUGGAGAAGAGCAAUUUUGCUGUGAUGCUCUAUGUGCCCCACUAAAUACCCUCUCCACACCUGCCCUGCCAAGCCAGCGUGUACAGCAUCACGCUGUCGGAUUGUCCUCAAGAUGUUAUUGCCAGCCAGCAAGAUGGUGUUCAUUUGUAGGUUUCCUUGUUGUCUAUUCCACCCCACACAGUACCCAAAAUAUAAUCCGCACGAGAGGAAGGACUUAACUGUGAUUCUCUGCUGUGCCUCCAGCACCCAGAAAGGUGUCUGGCACAUAGUAGGUGUUCAAUAAAUCUUUAUCAACUGACUAUGAGAAUAAAUGGAACAGCUGACAGUGGGCAUCCUGGUUUUGAUGAAAGCAAAUCUCAGACCACAUCCAUUUUACACAAAUUGUUACUUAUCAACAGGCAGCAGAAAAUAGCCUCACAGGCCGACCUGGAAGCUUAAUGGACUGCUGGAUCCUUGUCCUCUCUGAGGCUCAGAAAACACUUUGCACAAAAGGUUCACAGUGGGGCAAAGGCAGCAAUAUUCCAGCAGCAGGAUUUGUCUGACAUCCACAGGGGUCAGAACCAAAGUCACUCAGGGAUCUGACCUACGAUAGCCAAGGGUACCACUCCCUAGAUCAGCUCUGUCCAAUAGCACUUACAACAAAUGAAUCGGUUCUGUCCAGGACAUCAGCCCCCAGGCACAUGGCUAUUGAGCACUUGAAAUUCAAGCUGAUGUGACUGAAUUGAACUGAAUUUUCGAUUUUAUUUAAACUUGGGUUAGUUUACAAUGAAGUUGAAAUUGUAGCUAUUGUAUCAGACAGCACAGCCCUAGAUCAUUAAACCCUGUUCGUGCAAGUGCAGGGAGCUGCUGUAAAAUAUUUUCUGCCACCUCCUUCCCUUGAGUAGCACUGAAGUCACUGAAGAGAACACAUUCUAACAUCCACUUUGUUAAUCAUCAGCCACGACUUUCACCACUGCCAUUUAUGUCUAACGUUCAUUGUAUCAAUUAGUGAAGUCUCUGGUAUUGACCAAACAUCAAAGUCAUUGCCUCUGGAGUGUGGUCUCUCUGAUGCCUUGCUAGGGGAUCACCCACAGAGAGUGAAUUAUUGAUUAGAACAACUGACCACCAUGAAAACGGUGGUUGAAAUGAACACUGUCAGCCCUCCAUAUCCCACGGGUUCCGCGUCUGCAAGUUCAGCCAAACGCAGGGAGCAAACCUAAUCUACCGUCCAAAGGUGGUUGAACCCGUGGAUGCGGAACUGUGGAUAUGGAGAACUGACUCUGGGACUUAAGCAUCUGGGGAUUUUGGUAUCCACAGCGAGUCCUGGAACCAGUCCCCCAAGGAUACCCAAGGAUGACCGCCCAUCUAUGUGCCCCAUCUCUGCAGAAGAAAAAGAAACACUAAAUGCAUUUUAAUGUAAUUAUCUUUGAUGACAAGUUAUGAAGGACCUGAGAGGGGGGAUAAUGGGAGAAGGCUGUGGUUAAGCCCAGCUUCCCAAGCAGGUGAUUUUUGAAGUUCAGGACUGAGAAGGAGAAAGCCAGAGGAGGACAAUGGGAGAAAGCCUUGCAGAGGCAACUGUAAGCCCUCAGGACCGGGGGCUGUCCUCGGUCAGUUUGAGGAACAGAACAAAGACCAGUGUGGAAAACUAGUGAGCAGCCAGAACUUAACAAUAACAAGGAUUCCGGAUUUUGUUUUCUCAUCCUUCACUUGAGACACUAACAGAUACUGGGUUAAGCAAAGCUCAGAAGAAGCCGGAGACUUCCAGUUGAAAUGAAAUCCUCUGUAUAGACUUUCUGCUAUGGGAUCCAAUUCAGUAUCGAUAUUCUCAUUUAAAAAAUACUAAUUUCCAUUAGAUUGAGGCCAGAAUGCCCCGGGAAGCCUAGUGUGGUUUGCCAAUUGAUUCACAGAAUGAAAUCUUAUCUAAAAUCUUUUUAUUUUAUGCUAUUAAGGACACAGGAGGGAGCCACGAGUAAAAAAUUUCCCCGCCAGGUUAAUGCAUGGGGUCAACUGAAAGUGGCCCCAGGGCUGUCUUAAAAAGAUUGUCAUUUGUGAUUUCUCACUAUUUUGUUUCCCGCUACCAGUAAUUGAAAAAAAUUUUUCUUCCCUUUGGGGGAGGUUAAUGC
ensembl:lncRNA